CGGGGACCUGGAGGAUCCGGAGGCUCGUGGACGGGGUCUAUGCCUCGGAGCUCUCCCUGGCUUCCUUGUCCUGCGACCCACAGGGCCCCUUCACCUGCGCCCUGGGGCACCCUGCUGCUGACAUGGCCUCUUCUUAUCCUGCCAACUCGGACUUGGUCAGCAUUUUUUGUUUGACAGUAUCUGUCAAGGUUUGAUUUUGCUUGAGAAAUAAAUGAAUCCUUAGAACAAAUUAAGAUUAUUCAAUAAAGGAAGACAAGUCACCGUUUAACCUCUGGAGUGAACUUCAGUGAGUGUUUACUAGAGAAACAAAUAUAAGACAAAAUGUACAAGUAUAUAAGAAUCGACAAGACUGGCGUGCAGUGGCCUCCCACAGAAUCGGAUGAGGAAGAGUGCAGAGGGUCUGUCUGCACACUGGAGACCGAAGGAUCCGGCUGAAGGUCCAGAGCUCACUGCAGUGUCCCGUGCGAAUCUGUGUUAGGAGGCUGAUGGGUCUGAGAUGCCGGAAGGCUGAAGGAUCAGUGUGAGAGGCUGAGGAGUCUGCACUGGAAGCCAAGAGAUGAUGUCCAAGGUGAAGGCAAAGACUGGAGCUCUUCCAAAGAAGCAGAAGCAGACCCAUCCUUCUUCAUCUCCCCUUUCUACCAUCCAGGGACAAGCUGCCCUAGGGUGGGUCUUCCACACCCUAGGGUAUGGAUUUGCUGAGCCAAUUAAGUUGAGCUUCUCUUACUCAAGUUGACACAAUCAAUCAACCAUCACAUUUCCUACUUGGGAGAAACUAUAAAUAUGCAUUCUUUUUUUAUCUUGUUUUCUUUUUGUAUCUUGUCUUUUUGGCACCCAACUCUCUCCAUAUUACUGAGAAGAUAAUUUGGGUCCUUGUGUGGUGCUUCUUCUGAUGGAGAUAAUACAAGCCCAAAACCGGUAAAAGCAGCGUUUUGGAAAAGGAAGGCCCAGAAGGCUGAGCGUGAAUCCUUGAGACAUCAACUUAGGUAUGUGUGGGGGCUGUGGGAAGUAUUAUUACCUGGAACAGUCUUCAAUCUGUAGACCCAAACCUGUCUCUAGCAGGGCGUUUCUCUUAGGAACUUACCAGAUCACGCGUAGAUUGUUCUCAGGCAGAAGCUGUUUUGUAUUUCUAGUUCCAGCUGGAAACGCGAGUGAUGUAGUUGGCAGAAGCAAUAGCACCAUCUGGUGGAGACAGAUGCUUCCGUGCACAAGCUUUACCGUUCUGAAAAUAUCAGCAAUCCCAAAGAAUAAUUAGUUUUAAAACACAUUCUUAACUCUAAAGCACUCCUGGGAUGCAUAAUAUAUCAGUAACAAAAAAUUUCUCAUAUAUUCUAAUUCUUUAUUGACUGAGCUAGCACUCUUGACCAGUGACAGACUUUUUAUUUUCACAAUACUUAAUUAGGAUUUAAUAUUCUCCCUGUGUCAGACUCAUUUAUUUAGGAUGUGGAUCCUUACGUUUGAGAUUUAACCAUGUUCCAAGGGAUCCAGGCUUCUUUACAUUUAGCAGAGUAACUGAAUCCUCAGUAAGAAUGAAGGAAUAAACAGUAGAUUUCAUUGUUCUUUUCUGUCUCCUACCAUGUAUCAGAAACACACCUCCAUCUUUGAAUGACAGAGUUCCUUAGCACUGGGCUGGGGGAAGGGAGGUCUUUUUUAUCAUUGAGAAACUAGAACAACUGUAUCCGGAGCUUAGCCAAGAAUUCAUAUCUGUGAUAACUAAACAGUCAUCUAGAAAUUUUAUCUGGUCCACUAAAAAAAAAAUCUCUAGCAGAAUGUUUCAUUUGCAAUCAUAAACUCAUUGAACAAUUAAAGAAUGAAUGAGACUUUUAAAUGUGAGUGGUUCACCUUCCAAAUGCCCAGUCUUCUCAAGUUUAUUAUCCCUGUUUUAUCUGCAUCAAGUAUGGAGUUCAUCUUCCUGGGAAAGUUUGAACUUCUGAACAAUCUCACAUUUCUUCAGAGUUUACAGUCGGUGUGAAUUAUGCAGAAAUUUACAAAAUCUUUUUUUUUUUACGCUUCAAAACUUAAAAGUACAAAGUAAGUCUCCCUUCCUCCCCCAAAAAUAUUCCCCAGGUAUCAGUUCACUUCUCUGGGAUAGUAAUAUUGCAAGUUGUCUGUGAAAUGUUACCAAAAAUAUUCUGUGCUUAUAGGAAAUUUAUUGCAUCAAGGAUACGCCACAGAAUAUUUUGAAUUUGCAUUUAUCACUUGAAAGUAUAGAUUUUUUUAUUUUUUAUUUUUGGUACCGGGGAUCGAACUCAGGGUCCUUGCGCUUUCACGGCAGGUGGCGGAACCACUGAGCUAAAUCCCCGACCCGAUCACUUGAAAAUAUAGAUUGGAGAUUGUUCUGUAUCAUUACAUUAGUGCUACCUUGCUUAUUUUUUCAGCUGUGCAAUAUUCUAUUGAGUGAAUAUUGCAUGGUUUACAUAGCCAGUCUCCUCUUGAAUUUGUUUCCAGUAGUUUGAUGUACAAACAGUGCCUCACUGGAUAACAUUUACAUCCGCUGCUUUGCAUGCAUUGCAGUCUACCUGCUGGAUGUAUUUGGAGAAGUGGAAUUGCUAGGUCAAAUGGUUUUCACAUUUGUAAUUGUGAGAAAUGCUCUCCUCCUUGGAAGUCAUUUGUACUGACUUACAAGAACGUAGGAUGCCCCAUGCCCUCAUUAACUGUUUUUAAAAAACAACUUUUGGGGCCAGGGAUUUAGCUCAGUGGUUCCACUGCCUGCCUCGCAAGUGCAAGGACCCGAGUUCGAUCCCUACUACCAAAAAACCCACAACUUUUGGACUUUGACGAUCUUAUAGGUAUUAUAUUUGAAUUUAAUGAGUAGCAGGUUUCACAGUUUUCUUACUAUGAAUUUGGUUUAACGAGCAUGAAGUUUUUCAUGAGACCUGAUCACCGAGUCAAUUCUUUCUCCAAAGUUACUUUAGCAAAUAUACUGAUUGUUUAAAAUUUUAGUUUUUAGAAUAGGUAAAAAGUGGCUUCAAUUUUAAACACCUUCCAAAAUUACUCAUUUAUGUUCUCCUCCUUCUUUUCAUUUCCAGUAGUGGAUUUACCAUAAAGCUAGAGAAGCUUAAGCUUUAGACCCCUUUCUAAAUCCCCAAACUAGUUUUGUACUCAUAAUUUGACAUUCCUUUUCUUAAAAAUGUUGUCCAAAGUUAUAGAAGCUUCAGGCUGGAUACGCCCCUGUCUUCCCAGUUUCCAACCUCUCAAUUUCUUAUGUGUCCCUCUGGAUUACUUUAUGCACAUAGAAAUAUAUCCAGAAACGGAUUAUUCAUACUUUUGCUUUGUACGCUUGCUUUCCUCAAUGUGUCUUGGAUAUAUUCUGUGUAAAUUAUAGAGAAGGUUCAUGCCCUUUCUUUGUUUUUCAUUUUUUUUUGACAGUUGCAUGGUCUUCCAUUGUAUGAAGUUAAGCUCUUUAUUUCAUCAGCUCUUCACUGGUACGCCUUAGUGUAUAUUUGUUUUGUUUCAUUUCUGCCAUUUUCUUAAGUGUCCGGGCAGGUUUUGGAGCCCUGAAUGACAGUCAAGAAUCUGGUAGAGCCACAGGCUUCAGAAGAGGUGGGAAUUAAAUGGAUGAAAUUGGCAGGAGGAAUCCCAGCCUUGCUUACCCUCCACCCUCUUCAGGUAUCUACAACUCUAACUCUUUUCAAAACAGGUCCCUGGAAGCCUGCUAUUCAUAGCCUAGUGUGAAUCUGUGCAUCUGCAUGCUAAGUUUAUCUAUGAUUAUGAAACACAAGAUUGUCUUGCUAAAGCAUUUCUAACAAUCUGAAGACAGGAGGGAAACACAAUUAUCAGUCUUCAGAUGGUAUAAAAUCAUACUGGGCAGGUAACAGGUGGGAUAGAUAGCCCAUGAGGACACAUUAGUCUACCAGAGGCCUUGCUACAACCCACUAAAUAACUGCCACUACUCACACAGUAAUGUUUUAGUGUCCUGUGUCUGAUGGGAAGGGUUGAACAGCUGAUAUCUUCUAUGCCAGGAGAUUCAAUCGUUUUGAGACUAGACUCUUUAUACCCUCUUCAGUCAUUACUUCCCUUCUCAUUCAAGACAGUACACACCAUGAAAAUUACAUUUCGAAUAGCUGGAGAUGCAGCCUUUCCAUUCUCCUUAUCCUCUUAAAGUGUCAGCUGCCCCUUCUUCCAUCAGAACCUGUUUUCUGGAAAGGAUCAUGCACCUGUCUAAUUUGGUUACUGCAAAUCUAACCGAAUCCUCAGUGUCACUUUUAGUUCAUAUAUCAGUGUUAUAUAAAACUUCUUUAUGUGAAUAGUUGCAUAGUAUUCCAUAGUAUAGAUAUAGAAUAUUUUAUUUAACAACCCCAUUUUUCACUAAUGUUAGGUUAUUUGUGACAUUUUGCUCAAAUAUGACUCAAAUUUAAAAUUUAAUAUUUUAAUAUGGAUAUGUAUAUAUUUGGAGACAUGUAUGUGAAACUAUUUCUGUAGGAUAUGUUCCUAGAAUUAGAGUUCCUCAAGAGGUGUAAACAUUUUAAUUCUUGAAGAGAUAUUUCUAAAUUUCCCCCAAAUCAAUUUAGAUUCCUGUCAAGAUUAUGAAUUGGGAUCCACAUGCCCACAUGCUCAGCAACAGUAUAAAGUAUCAGUCUUUCUAGUUUUGUUUAUCUGAUGGGAAAAAUGUUCUUUCAUGUUUUAAAAGCCAUUUCUCUAAUUUCCAGAGGGCCGGUGCAUCUUUCAUCAUGUUCUGAGAAUAGUAAAUGUUUCUAUUUGAGUUUGUAUAUUUAAUUUCCCAAUUGGAAAAAUGGCUUGAAUAUUACUAUUAUGUUCAUGGUAUAUAUAAAGACUAUGUUAGCUAUAUUCUUACUUUCUCUUAAAGUGGUUUUUCAAGACAUUAAAGCUGUUUGUGUAUGUGUGUAUAUGUGUGUGUGUAUGUGUGUGUGAAGGUGUAUCUUUUUAAAAAUGUUUUUUAAUUGGUGAAAUUGUAUAUAUUUAUUGUGAAAAACAUGAUGUUUUGAAAUAUAUGUUCAUUAUGGAAUGACUUAAAUUAGCAUAUGAAUUGCCUAAGGUAGUUAUCAUUUUUGUGGUGAGAACAUUUUAAACUUAUAUCCUAGCAUUUUUCAAAAAUACAAUAUAUAGUUCUUAACUGUAGUUGUCAUGUUAUACAGUAGAUCAUAAGUCUGAUUUUCUUAACCCUUACAUUAACCUCGCCAGAGAAAGGUUCCAUAAGGCUGUGUCACAGGGAGGCCAGGCCCUAUGCUCAGUGGUUAUGGGUGUGGUCUUCGGAAUCAGGCUGACCUGGUUUAGACUCCGGGUUGAGUCAUAUUUCUUACAUUUUCUGUGCCUCUGUCACCUCUUUUGUAAAGUGAGUGCCAUAAAAGUUGUAAACUCACAGAAUUUUCCUGAGGCUUAUUUGUAUUUUUUAUGUUUUGGAAGUGCUGGAGAUGAGACCGGGAGCCUCGCACAUGUGGGACAAGCGCUCUGCCACUGAGCUGUCCCCCAGCACUGUCGUAAACUCCAGACAGGAUAAUAACACGAUGCAUGUAAUUCAGCACAGUUCCAGACACUUCCAAGUGCUCAGUAUUUGCUAUCCAUUAAAAUUAUUAUUUAUAACGUGGACAACACAUGCAGAGAAUUAGAUAUUUCAGUUUUAUUCUAGGUCCUAGAAACUUUCCCAGUAAAACUUAUUCUUAGUAAUAUCCUAAAAGACUAAUACAGUCCUCUUUUAUUAGAGUGGGGAUUUCUCAUUAUGUUUUAGCCAGUCAUAUGAAUUUUCUGUUUCUUAGAGCAUGAAAAUAAUUAACUCACCCAUUAAUUCAGUGUUUACUCUUAAGUUCUUACUGUGUUUAAAGCCUGAGAGAUUCAGUUCUCUUCAAAAGUCUAUUUCACUUUCUCUGUAUGAAACUUAUUCCACAUUCCUUUAAACUGUGAAAAUCCUAAUUUAUACAAAAUGCAAGGAAACAGGAAAGAAGCUUAAAGGCAGUUUAGUUCAACUUUUUAUUUUAUAGAUGUAAAAACUGAAGCCCAGAGGCAGGAAGCAACUUUUCUAAGGUCACACCGUGCGUAAGUAUGGGAACUGGGAUGAGAAGCCAGACAUCCCAGCUCUACAGCAGCACUCUGUGAAACCAUACCAUGUUCAAGGAUCCACUUCUGUUAACCCAACAUGACUUCAAAAAUCCUGACCUUGGUAUAAUUCCAAAGGAAAUGAAAUCACCAACUUGUUAAAAUGUUAUCAUUCCCAUGCUCUUCUCAGCACUAUUCAAAAUAGGAAAGAUACGGAAACUACCUAGGUGUCUAUUGACAAAUAAAUGGAUAAAAAAUUUUGGCAUAUAUUUAUAAUGAAACAUUAUUCAGCCUUUAAAAAUUAGGAGAUCUUACCACUUGCUACAGUUUGGAUGAACCUAGAGGAUAUUAUACUUGGUGCAAUAAACCAGACACAAAAAUACUGCAUGAAAUCUAAAGAAAAUGUAAUAUAUAGAAAGAUGGAGAAUAAAAACAGUGAUUAUGAGGGUCAUAGUGUGGAAGGAGGACUAGGAAUGCAUUGUUUCAAAGGAUACAUGUAGCAAAUAUAGAGGAUGAACAAUCAAAAGAUCUAAUGUACAGCACAAAGAUUACAGCUAAUAAAAUUGUAUUCAGAAUAAAGAUUUGAGGGAAUGUGAAGAUUACAGCAUCUUUUGUUUCUAUGUGUGGUGAAGGAUAUCUUGAUUUGUUCCACUAUCGUAACUAUUUUCUUAUAUAUUUAUAUGUAUCUUUAAAGAUCAUGCAGUAUAACUUAAGUAUACACAAUAAAAUUCAUUUAAAAACAUUAAAAACAAAUAUACAAAAACACAGGUUUUAAAAUGAUAAAAAUGAAACACGGCUGUCUGAAGUUUGUCAAGAAAGAUAGAACCUAACACACUUCCCUACCUAUUUGAAGACAAUAGUACUGUGAAGUCCAGUAGCAUAGCUUUCUAGGUCUUUUUCAUUUUUGUCUACUCUCAACUACCCACAUAUAACAAGAAUGCACUGCACUCAAGGUAGACAGUACCAGUGAUCCUACAGAUCAGCUUCUGGCAGCCCCUGGCCCACAUGCCAGAGAUGGUACAGGUGCCAAUUUCUGGUGGGAAGUGAGCCAACUGCCACACACAAUUCCCACCCUCAUCGUUUUCAGCAGAUAUCAUGUCCACCCUCUUGCCCAUGUCAUCCGAGGCAACACCCUGACAAGGCUUUCCAUAUGGCCCCAUCUUGGCCUUCCAAAACCACAGGCUCAGUAAUUCAACACACACAUUAGAGAAACCAAUGACCGCUGAUUCCUAUAAUAAAAAUGAAACAUUCUCAGCAUGUUUAAACAGAAUGUUCAUUUAUUUUCUUCUUUAUGAUUAUAGAGUAAUAGAAUGUUCUUGAUUAUUAAUAUAUAUCAUAGAAUAUGCCAAAGCAAGAAUUAGGCAAAUCUAAUGAACUUGCCUAACCUUAAAAGAAUAAAAGGCAACACAUCCCCAGCCCCCAGCCUAUAUAUUAUGGGUAGAAAUCUGGACCCACUGACCAUUUAGUUGUUCAUUUAAACUUUAGUUCCGGUUUAUUGAGCAUCUACUAGGAAUGGUCCUGUUGCUGGCUGUUCAGAGCACGAAUAUCCAUAAGUCCUCUACAAAAGGCUGCCUCAGAGUUCAUGUACACCUGGCUGCUUAGUCUUGAGUUACUUUCUACCACUGAAUAAUUCUGUGAUGUUAAGCAAAUAAAUUUGCUUCUUUAAACUUUAUUUUCCCAAUCCUUAUGUAAGGGUAGUAUUAGUCCCUACUUUGCAUAUUUGAUUAUAAGGAUAAUAUUAAGGCAUUUUAGAUGGUGCCUAAAACAGUCAAUUCUCAAAAAUUAUCAACUACAAUUAAGUUUCUCCUGUACUAUAACCCGAAAUUAGAAAGCCUGUAAGAGGGUUAGAAAUCAGAAGGUCAAUUGACACUGAAAAUUUGGAAAUUAGGGCAACCAACAGUUAAAAGGUCCUUAAUAUGACAAGAUUUUGGUGAUUACUUGCUGUGUGACAGGGACAUGUAUGUGUUGGGGAUGAAGAAAUGAACCAAUUCUUGAACUUCUACUUGUGGAGAGAUGGCAUAAAAUUGAGAACUGUAAAUCCCGGGUUAAGGAUUAUUAAAAAGCUGGAAUUCUGAAAUCACUUGUCUUGGGCGAAGUCCCCUGUUUUCUUGGUGGAUGGGCUGGGACUAGGAUUAAAGGUAGGGGGGUUUCCCUGGGACCUUUGCCCAUGACCCACAGAGAGCACUGAGCUUGGAGUCAGCUUGGGCUCCUGGUCAGGAUGGUCCCUGCAAGGCUUCCAUGCCUCUAGAGGGACAGAAAAGCCAUGUGUGCAACAGUUUGGGGACCUGUCAGCACCAAUACUUCUGUCUAAAAGAGCUGCAGUCCCAACUCAGAAAGUCUACACACCCUGCCAGGGUUAAAAUGAUUUCUGACAUAAUGACAAUACUAACAAUAUAUCUUAUGUUUGUGUGACCCUUCAUGUCUUCAAAUGAUGUCCACCUGCAUCUCUGUCACUAGCAGUGUUCAGUAGCCCCCUGAAACAGCCCAAAGAACUCUCUUUAUGCAUAACACAGGUUGUAAUGGAGCACACAACAUUGCUGUGGAGCUAAGUCACCAUUUAAAGCCUUUCUUAGGAGCUACUGGGAUUAUAAAUUGUAUAUCUUGUUUGGAUAAACUAUAAGAAGACUUUUUAAUGCCCUUCAAUUGGUGAACCAUGAAUUUAAAACUGUGAUGUCAACAUCUGUGUUAUCCUACCAGUUCAAAGAAUGUGGCCUUGUAAAGACAGUCUUUCCUUGCUACGUCAUCCUUAUGUUUGCACACUAGUGGAAAGUCAAUCUGGAUUUUUCAGCAAAUGUUAGUACUUUUUUGUGUGGGAGCCAGUGCUUGUCUUUGGCUGGAGGUAAAAAAUGUUCUUUCUAUUCUCUUCCUACUUCUUCUGAAACUUCAUAAUCUUUCUUUUUAAUAUCAACUAUGGUUAUUGGUUUGGGAAUAAAAUUGCCUAAAUUUGAUCUUAGGCCAGAUAUUUAUUGGCUGGGUUCAUUUAUUAUAUUGUUUAGUCUCUCCGUAUCUCUGUUUUCCCACAUAAAAGUUCUUAAUGAUAGCUCCUACUUCAUAAGGUUGUUAUGAUGAUUAAAGAGCUAAUACUUAUACAGGUGCCCUCAGUAGGGGUGUGUGUGUGUGUGUGUGUGUGUGUGUGUGCAUAUGCACAGAUAUGUAAGUGGCGUAUGUGAAACUAGAGAUGUCUUCGUUCUGAGUCUUAUCACCAUUUUCAAUUCUAAACUGAACCUGUAAUAUGAGUGAGAACAGUCUCCAAUGCUACACUCUGUGUUCUUCUAAGACCCUGGAUCUGCUUUGCAAAUAUGCCCAUAGGACUCAUAGACCAGGACAGGAAGAUUUCCACACACAAUCUCAGACUCGCCUGGCCUCAUCAUGCCAUGUAUUCAUGGAGAAAAAAACCCCUGCAUUCACCAGACAUAGCCUACAUUGGGAUAAAAUGAUUGAACUCUUAAUGUAGAUAAAAAUGUACUACAUUACCCUGGUUAAUUUUGGUUUGAGAGUCAGAUUGGGUAUGAGUCUAACAUUUACUAUUUGCUUAAUGCUUGCAUUCAUAAACUGAGAUGAUAACAAGACAUGGAUUUGCUAAAAUGAUAAAUGAGGUUCUUUGUAUAAAGUACCUGUAAACAUGCAGUGGAUGCCAGAGAAUAAGCGCUAAGUGGUUAUAUUAUUAUUGAAACACCCUUUUCCAUUCAGGUGCCUCUGCUUGUGUCUUUCCAUGUACACUUAAUGUAUCAUGUUUCUGGAAAAAUGAAACCAAUAAAAUACAUAUAAUUAUAGGAAAGGAUUUCUUCAAUGGGCUCACAAAAUCAGAGGCUGGAUAGGCCACCUGCAAGCUGGAGGGGCAGAGGAACUGGUAGCUACACUGAGCAUAAUGCUGAAAGGCUCAGAACAAGAGAGGAUGAAGAUGCAUCCUUAGUCUGAAGCCAGAGGCUGAAAACUCCCAUGGAGAGCCACUGGUGCAAGGGCUACUUUCAAAGGCUGAAGAACUUGGAGCUGAUUCUACAGAUGAAAGAGCAGAACAAUGCAUUUUCCCAAGAGGAGUAAAGUGUGGGCAAGAGCAAACACUUUCAGCUUUUGUUGUUCUUGCAUCUGGGCCCUCAGCCUAUGGGAUAGGCAGGUUGCCCUUAUUCACUUCACUGACCUACACACCAGACUUCUCUGGAAACGCCCUCAAAGACAGACCUUGAAGCGUGCUUUACCAAUUUUCUAGGCAUCCUUCAAUGCAGUCAAGUUGUCAGCCAUGGUUAAGCAUCACACAUGGCCCUUAGAAGGUGAGUUUUGGUGCUAACUGCUCCCAUGGAGGGGAGCAUGUGUUUAGUCAGACAAUCAUGGAGAAGGUAAGAAGAGUUUAGAAAGAAGUGGCCAUUUACACUCUAGAGGAGAGAAAACUGUGGGUGUUUGGUUGAGGAAUUCCCCACAACUGACUGCUGAAUGUGGGUUCACUCUGACCACAGAUAUUGUCCAUAGAUGACAGGGUUUAAUCAAUAAAAGUCCAUUUCCCAUAAGCCUGAGCAGGCAUUGAGUUGCAUUGAUUCUGUGUAAGAGGAAGAACAGUUGAGAGGAAACAAGCAAAAUUGGGGUGAAAAUGGACAGAGGUGUCGGUGGUCUCUGGAGGUCUCUGCCUGUGGCUGCAGUGUUUUUAAACUUAG
rnacentral:lncRNA from 1 species